rnacentral:rRNA from 1 species
GUCCAGACUCCUACGGGAGGCAGCAGUGGGGGAUAUUGCACAAUGGGGGAAACCCUGAUGCAGCGACGCCGCGUGAGCGAUGAAGUAUUUCGGUAUGUAAAGCUCUAUCAGCAGGGAAGAAAAUGACGGUACCUGACUAAGAAGCCCCGGCUAACUACGUGCCAGCAGCCGCGGUAAUACGUAGGGGGCAAGCGUUAUCCGGAUUUACUGGGUGUAAAGGGAGCGUAGACGGCAAUGCAAGCCAGAUGUGAAAGCCCGGGGCUCAACCCCGGGACUGCAUUUGGAACUGUGUAGCUGGAGUGUCGGAGAGGCAGGCGGAAUUCCUAGUGUAGCGGUGAAAUGCGUAGAUAUUAGGAGGAACACCAGUGGCGAAGGCGGCCUGCUGGACGAUGACUGACGUUGAGGCUCGAAAGCGUGGGGAGCAAACAGGAUUAGAUACCCCAGUACAC